GCAUUCACCUGGCACCAGUUUCAGGGCCUCACCCAAGCUUUGCAGGGGAAAGCACAGAGGGAGGAAUUACACUGAAAAAAAUGCAAGCAAAGGUUGAGUACCCCCAGGUGCCCCUUAGGAAGGAACCAGGUUUAAAUAGGCUCUACCCUUACCUUUCCCAGCAGCAAGUUCAGGGGAAGAGGCCUACUCUUAGCCCUGGCUAGUGUGACCCUCUUCCUGUCCUAAGACUUUGGUCCUACCACCUCUUGUUUCAUCUUUCCUUUACAUUGCUGGGGGUUACCGCAGGUGCCUACCCCAGGGCUUCACCAUAUGGGCCAUUAAUAGCUCUACUAAAACUGACUUCUAGAUGCGAGAAGAGGGAAGUUGGAGAGGGAAAAGUUAGCCCAGAAGGAAAGCAUUUUCUGCAGAUCAGCCUGAAUCCACCGUGGCUAGGCAUAUUCUUGCUCUUCUCGUGUUGCUCACAACUACCUGCCUGGAUGAAUUUAGGAAAGUUGCAGGAUACAAGGUUAAAACACAAGAUCAAAUGAACAAUCCGAAAAUGUUAUUAAGAAAACAGUUCCGGCCGGGCAUGGUGGCUCACGCCUGAAAUCCCAGCACUUUGGGAGGCCGAGGCAGGUGGAUCACGAGGUCAGGAGAUCAAGACCAUCCUGGCUAACACGGUGAAACCCUAUCUCUACUAAAAAUACAAAAAAUUAGCCAGGUGUGGUGGCACGCACCAGUAGUCCCAGCUACUCGGGAGGCUGAGGCAGGAGAAUUGCUUGAACCUGGAAGGCAGAGAUUGCAGUGAGCUGAGACCACACCACUGCACUCCAUCCUGGGCAACAGAGUGAGACUUUGUCUCAAAAAGAAAGAAAGAAAGAAAGAAAGAAAGAAAGAAAGAAA
rnacentral:lncRNA from 10 species